AAAUGUUUAAAGUGUAUACAUAUAAAUAUUAUCACAUAAUGCGCAUAUAAUAUAUGUAUAAUAAUAAUAAUAAUAAUAUAAUAAUAAUAAUAAAUGCUAAUAAUAAUAUAGUAAUAAACAAUUUAACAGUAUUUAAAAAAUAAUAACAAAUUAAGGAUUAAUAUUGAAAAUAAAUAGAAGUUAAAGGCUAAAUUCGAAAAUUGAAAAUGAGAAAAGGGGCAAAUUAAAUCACGCGUAACAGAAGGAGGAUCAAAAGAGAAAAUUAUCCAAACCGGUCAAGCACUGCGCAGCAACAUGGAUUGAACUAAAAACAACAUUAAAAUAUAUUGCCUAAUUUAAAAAUAUAAAAAAAAACUGAUAUAAUCACCCAAAAAAAACAAAGGACUAAUAAUGCAAAUGGCCCAUUUUGAACCCAUUUUAAAACCCAAAACUCAUUCCCUUUGUCUGUCAUUUUUGAGUUUGCCGCAGCCCCCUUUCCACCAUUUCAGACCCAUCUCCGAUCAACUACAACGACCAUGACGGCACCACGACGGAGCGCUACCGCUGGUAAGAACCCCUCUCCCUCUUCUUUGCUUCGCUUUCGUUUUAAAAACGAGGAAAGAAAGCAGAAGAAAAAAAAAAGAACAAAAAAGAAAUAAAAGGAACAAAACGGUCAAAAGAAAAGAAAAAUAGAGUUGACUAAUUACCUUCAAGAAAUUGUUUUUGAUUCUCUUUCAAUUUUCCUUUACAAAAUUUCUCCCCUUUCCCGAUCUCUUUUUUUUUUCUUUAAUUUUCCCCCUUUCAAUCCUGAAAAACUCCCUUCUCUCAAAAAACAGUUUUCACUUCCCUCCUUUUUACAAUCAGUUGUUUUCUUUUAAUAUAUUUGUUAUCCUUCUGUUCCUUGUGCUAUUCGUGGUUCGUGGCUUAUUUGCAGGAUGAACGUGCACGGCGCUAGGGGAAACGGCAGUUAUUGCGACGUGGGAGUGUGUACAGCGCUGGUCUGCUGCUUGCUGUUGGAGUUUGCUGUUUUUAUUUUUUGGGGGCUGUACAGUGUUAUUAGUUUGGGCCUUAUUGGGCCUCGUUUUUAAUUGGGUUAGGUUGUAAUUUGGGUUUUGGGUCAGUUUUAGUGAGUAUAGUUAGGCCCGGGCAAUAAUUGGGUAUUAUAGCAUUCAAGCUAUUCAAAUCAUCAACCAAGUCAUUUCCUUAUUCAAAACAUACCAUUUGCACUUUCAAACAAACCAUUCAAGCACUAUACAUAUGGUCUCACAAUAUGAUCAAAACAUACCUUAAAACACACACAUAUAUAUACAUAUACAUUAACAUAUCUUACUUCACAACCUAACCAAGUUCAAACUAAGCUAAUAGAUACAAUUUAACACACCUAUAACACCUCUAUACGUGCCAUAAAACCAAGCUACAAAAUGAUCAAAAGGCUAUCGAAUCGAUAAAAGAAUAAUGUGAGCUUUGUGAAGUCCGAUUGACGAGUUCCGCAAUUUGAC
rnacentral:lncRNA from 1 species